GCGAGCGUGGCGGAAUCGGCAGACGCGCUAGGUUCAGGACCUAGUGGGCGCAAGCCCGUGGGGGUUCAAGUCCCUUCGCUCGCACCA
rnacentral:tRNA from 1 species